UACAGAGGGUGCAAGCGUUAAUCGGAAUUACUGGGCGUAAAGCGCACGUAGGUGGAUAUUUAAGUUGGAUGUGAAAGCCCCGGGCUCAACCUGGGAUGGUCAUUCAAAACUGGAUAUCUAGAGUACAGUAGAGGGAAGUGGAAUUUCAGGUGUAGCGGUGAAAUGCGUAGAUAUCUGAAGGAACACCAGUGGCGAAGGCGGCUUCCUGGCCUGAUACUGACACUGAGGUGCGAAAGCGUGGGUAGCGAACAGG
rnacentral:rRNA from 1 species